AUGCUUUGGCAGCACAUAUACUAAAAUUGAAACAAUACAGAGAAGAUUAGUAUGGCCCCCAAGCAAGGAUGGCAUACAAAUUCAUGAAAUGUUCCAUAUAUAU